rnacentral:rRNA from 1 species
UACGGAGGGUGCAAGCGUUGUUCGGAAUUACUGGGCGUAAAGCGCCUGUAGGUUGUUUAAGAAGUCGGGUGUGAAAUCCCCAAGCUUAACUUGGGAACUGCGCCCGAAACCAUUAGACUAGAGUGCCAAAAGGGUACGUGGAAUUCCCAGUGUAGCAGUGAAAUGCGUAGAUAUUGGGAGGAACACCGGUGGUGAAGACGACGUACUGGGUGGCAACUGACGCUGAGAGGCGAAAGCGUGGGUAGCAAAC